rnacentral:misc_RNA from 1 species
AGCAGCCGCGGUAAUUCCAGCUCCAAUAGCGUAUAUUAAAGUUGUUGCAGUUAAAAAGCCCGUAGUUGAAUUUCGGGGUUAGUAGGUUGGUCAUGCCUCUGGUAUGUACUGGUCUCACUGAUUCCUCCUUCCUGAUGAGCCGUAAUGCCAUUAAUUUGGUGUUGCGGGGAAUUUGGACUGUUACUUUGAAAAAUUAGAGUGUUUAAAGCAAGCUAACGCUUGAAUACAUUAGCAUGGAAUAAUGAAAUAGGACGUUCGAUCCUAUUUUGUUGGUUUCUAGGAUUGACGUAAUGAUUAAUAGGGAUAGUUGGGGGCAUUAGUAUUCAAUUGUCAGAGGUGAAAUUCUUGGAUUUAUUGAAGACUAACUACUGCGAAAGCAUUUGCCAAGGAUGUUUUCAUUAAUCAAGAACGAAAGUUAGGGGAUCGAAGACGAUCAGAUACCGUCGUAGUCUUAACCAUAAACUAUGCCGACUAGGGAUCGGAUGAUGUUAAUUUUUAAUGACUCAUUCGGCGCCUUACG